rnacentral:lncRNA from 1 species
AUGAUAAUGGAGAUGGAGUACAAAUGGGACAACUCUGAGAUAGAGUACAUGAAAGCUCAAGACACCUGUAUCCAACUGCCUACUUGAUGUUUUCACUGACAUAUAGGCAUUCCAAACUUAAUAUGUCAAAGAUUAAACUAUUUAUUCUCCUUACCAAUCUGUCCCUAGUCUUUCCACUUCCAAUGGUAUCAUCAUUUUCUGGUACUUUCAACACAAAGGAUACUAUCAUAUAGGGAACGUGACUCUCUCACUCAUUACUCUAUUUCCAGUGCCCAGAUUGUCAUGCACAUAGUAAGUGCUCAAUAGAUAUUUGUAGAAUGAAUGGAUGAAUUGGCCCUGCCCUCCAAACAUGUUCGAUUAAAAAUCAUUCAAGAAUAUACACAAAGUAGUAUAUGAAAAAAUGACAGACUUCUGUCCUUUCUUUUCAAUUAUUAGACCCACAGCCUUAGUUCAGUCUUUCCUGAUUUUAUACCUGAAGAACUGCCACAACUCUUUUUAUUGGCUCUUCUUGUCACCUUCCAAUGUUAAUAGCUUACAAGAUAAAAUCCAAACCACUUGGCGUGACAUUCAAGGUCCUCCAUAAUCUGACACCAGCCUACCUUUUUCACCUCUUUUUCCUCUACUUAAAUAUUAUGAAUCUCGAUGUCCCAACUACACAAGACUACUGGAUGUUUCCCAAAUGUGCCCUACAUUUCUCUUUGUUCUUCUUUUCUCCUCUUCCUGGAAUUCCAUUGCCCCCAUUUCUUCCUUCAACAAAUGCUAUCCAUUUUUAAAGGCCCAAUUCAAAUGUCAUUUCCUCUAUGCAGGCUUCUUGGACUCUCUCAGAUAGAAUUAGGCUUCCCUCUUUUCCACUUUCCCCUGGUACUUAUCAACCUUGAUGUAACAUUUAAAAUCAUAGAUGUCUCAGAAUUAUAAUAUUAGAUUUAGAAGUGGUCUUGUUGAUCAUGUGAUCCGACUUCUUCAUGUUAUCGAGGGCAAGAGCUAGAAGAAUCCAGGUCUUUUAAUUUGCCUUGACUUGUGAUUAUGUAUGUAUGUAUUUUUUAUCCUCUACCUGACAUCACUGGGCAGAAAUAGGGUGUUAUUCAUCUUUGUGUUCUUAUUCAUGAUACUUAAUAAAAUCUAUUGCACAUAGUGGAUAUACAAUAAGUAUGUUUCAAUUGACUUAAGAUCAGAGGGAUGGAUAAAAUAGAGGUACCAUUCAUAGUAUUGUACUCUGUACCAGGUACUAUGCCAAAGUUUUACAAGAAUUACCUGAUUGAUCAAACAAUCCUAUGAGAUAAGCACCAUUUGUAGCUUUAUUUGCCCAAGACUUCAUAGCCAGUAAGUUGUAGAAUCUGGACAAAAAUAAAAUUCCUGUGGCUCCAGAUUCUUUGUUCUUAGUCAUUGUGCUAUAGUGCAAAACAACAAGGUGGGAACUCAAACAUUUUGGGUUUAGAAUACGACUGAUGGAUGAAUUUGGCAUGAAAGACUAACUUUUAUUUCCUGGAGGACAUAGUAGCUGGGUUUGGGAAGAUAGUUUGGGACAAUAUUGUAGAAGGCUCUGAAUGCCAAGCAUGGUAUGAGAAGUUACCUCCCUUCCCUAGCUCUCCAUCUGCACCAGUCUAGAUCACCGUAUGAGGCGCAACUCAAACAGUACUUAUUGUUUGAAGACUUCCAGAAUCUUCCAAGUCACAAUGAAUUUCCCCUUCUCCCACAGCACUUUGUUCAUACCUUUGUUAUAAUACAUAAUAUUACUUUCUUUCUUUUAUGUUUUUUUGAGACGGAGCCUCUCUCUGUUACCCAGGCUGGAGCGCAGUGGUGUGAUCUCACCUCCCCUGGGUUCAAGCGAUUCUCCUGCCUCAGCUUCUGAGUAGCUGGGACUACAGGCAUGCACCACCAUGCCCCGCUGGCUUUUGUAUUUUUAGUAAAAACGAGGUUUCACCAUGUUGCCCAGGCUGGUCUCGAACUCCUGGCCUCAGGAGAUCCACCAGCCUCGGCCUCCCAGAGUGAUGGGAUUACAGGCGUGAGCCACUGAGCCCGGCCAAUAUGACUUUCUUAACAGAAAUAUUUUGUGGCUGUAUCUGUUUUCUUCACAUUUUGUAAAUUCCUUGAGAGCAGGCACUUUAUUUACAAUUGUAUACCUCUUUUUAUUUCACAACUGAUGCAUAGUAGAUGCUUGUCUUCGUCCAUUUUGUGUUGCUAUAAGUGAAUACCUGAAACUGGGCAAUUUACAAAGAAAAGAGGUUUAUUUAGCUCAUGGUUCUGCAGGCUGGGAAGUUUAAGAUUGGGCAGCUGCAUCUGGUAGCUUCUGAUGAGGGCCUUGUACUGUGGCAAAACAUGGCAGAGAAAUGGAAGGGGAACCAGGUCCCUGCAAAGAGAGUAAAACACCAAACACGAGAUGCAACCUCACUUUACAACAACUUGCACUUGCAUAACCAAUUCAGUCCCACAAAGAGUAAGAACUGACUCACUCCCACCAGACUGCUUUAAUCCCUUCAUGAGAGUGAAUCCUUAAUGACCCAGAAGCCUGUUAAAUAUUCCACCCCCUCUCAACACUGUUACACUGGGGACCAAGUCUCAAUAUGAGUUUUGGUGGGCACAAACCAUAUUCAAAUCAUAACAAUGCUCAAUAAAUAUUAGUUGAAUUAAAUGUUUCCUUGGGAGAAUAUAGACAUAAAUAAGGCAUGGUUUCUGCUCUCAAGAGAAGCCAACAUUCUAUCAAGGGAAACAGUACAUUAUUCCAUAUGAGAAGCUAUACUAGUGACAUGUAUAAAGCACGAGGAAUUCAGCGAUCAAUUAGAAAAUGCAAUAGGAAAAAUAACCCAUUCAUGAUUUUCCCAAAAUCUAUAAGGCAGCUAGGAAGAUAGCUAACAGAUGUAUAAACCAUUAUACAGAAAAGUAUGAGAUUGUACUAAAGGAAAUUUUAUAAAAAUCAGAAAGUGGAGGAAUAUUCUUGUCAAGAACUACAAAAGGUCUAGAAUUUGACCCUAUUUACAAACUUACAAAUUAGCCUGACACACACAGUUUCAUGUAUUCUGUCAGAAGACAUGAGAAUCUUGGGUGAGAGGCAAAGGACUUUAUUACUCAGAAAAAGCAGUAGCUAGAACUUCCUGUUGGCUUGUGUUCGUUCCCAAUGCCCCCCAAAUCCCACAAGGGCAAUGCAAAGGACCAAUGAUGGAUGGCUGCACAGUGGGUUGCAUUACAGGAAAGAAACAAUACAUUUGGAGGAUCCACUGCUUUUAUAGAACAUGGAAAUAAACCUGCUGUUUGUGAUGUUUUCCCAUCCUUCAGGGUUUCUCACUGAAAACAUGGUCCUGAGAAUGGCCAAGGUGAAGAGUCAUCAGUGCCUUACCUUUUUGGCAUACUCAGCAAGAGUACGCAUAAAUGCUUAGGGACCAUGAUGGGUUGUCUUUCCCAACAAUAUUCCAUUUGUAUGUGUGGAAACUUUAAGUCAGCAAAUUGGUAAUUCUUCUCAAAUUAGUCCAUAAAUCCAAUAUUAUUCCAAUCAAAAUAUUAACAGGCCAAUUUUUUGUGGAAUUUGAAACACUGAUUACAAAACUGGAAAAGGCACAUAUAGUACAUACAGUAAAUUGUUAUAUGAAAGAAGUGACAUUACAUAGGAGUGAAAAAUGGAUGAAUAAUUUAAUAAAUGUGAUUGGACAGUUGUUUCCCUUCUCGGAGAAAAAUCUAGAUCCAUGCCUUAUACAAAAUAAAAUCCAGAUAUAUAAAAGACCAAAGUACACAACCAAAAUCUUAAAACUAAUAAAAAAUCAUGUCCUCAGAGUAGAUAAUUUCCUAAACAAAAUCCAAAAACACAAGUUUUAAAGGAAAAGAUUGAUAUAUUUGAUUCGACAAACAUUGUAUAAUAAAAGACGUGAGAAGUAACCUUAGUGAGAAAAGACGAGCAAAGAUUGGUACAGGCUUUUUGGAAAACUAGUUGGCUCUAUCUACUGAAGCUGAACCUAUGCAUUCCCUAUGACCAGCAACUCCACUUCUUGGUAUAUACCCAAGAAAAGUGCAUAUGUAUAUUCACUAAGGACAUUAUGAAAAGCAUUAUUUGUAAUAGCCCCACACUGAAAAAAAAAACCAAGAGCCCACAAGCAGUAGAAUGAAUAAAUAAAUUGUAGUAUAUUCAUACAUUAAAAUGUAGCACAUAAAGGAGAAUUAACUACAAAUUCACGACAACAUGGAUGAAUCUCACAAACCUAAUGUUGAGCAAAAGAAUCCAGACACAGAGGAGUAUAUACUGAAAGAUCCCACUUAUUUAAAGCAGAAAAGAGGCAAAACUAAUAAUCAGGAGAGUGGUUAUCAUCCUUGGGCAUAGUGACUGGAAAGGAGCACAAAAGAAGCUUAUGGCAGGGAGGGGAGAGGUUGAUAAUGUACUGUGUCUUGAUCUGAGAGCUGGUUAUAUGGGUGUCUUUACUUUGUGAACAUUUAUCAAGAUAUACACCUAAGAUAUGUAUGUAUGUAUAUUGUACUAAAAUAAAACAUUUUGAAAAUCUGC